AGGACGAACGCUGGCGGCGUGCUUAACACAUGCAAGUCGAACGGUAAGGCCCUUCGGGGUACACGAGUGGCGAACGGGUGAGUAACACGUGGGUGAUCUGCCCUGCACUUCGGGAUAAGCUUGGGAAACUGGGUCUAAUACCGGAUAUGACUACGAAUCGCAUGGUUUGUGGUGGAAAGCUUUUGCGGUGUGGGAUGGGCCCGCGGCCUAUCAGCUUGUUGGUGGGGUGAUGGCCUACCAAGGCGACGACGGGUAGCCGGCCUGAGAGGGUGUCCGGCCACACUGGGACUGAGAUACGGCCCAGACUCCUACGGGAGGCAGCAGUGGGGAAUAUUGCACAAUGGGCGCAAGCCUGAUGCAGCGACGCCGCGUGAGGGAUGACGGCCUCGGUUGUAACCUCUUUCAGUAUCGACGAAGCGCAAGUGACGGUAGGUACAGAAGAAGGACCGGCCAACUACGUGCCAGCAGCCGCGGUAA
rnacentral:rRNA from 1 species